CAGUAGCCGCGGUAACACGUAGGGUGCAAGCGUUAAUCGGAAUUACUGGGCGUAAAGCGUGCGCAGGCGGCUAUGCAAGACAGAUGUGAAAUCCCCGGGCUCAACCUGGGAACUGCAUUUGUGACUGCAUGGCUAGAGUACGGUAGAGGGGGAUGGAAUUCCGCGUGUAGCAGUGAAAUGCGUAGAUAUGCGGAGGAACACCGAUGGCGAAGGCAAUCCCCUGGACCUGUACUGACGCUCAUGCACGAAAGCGUGGGGAGCAAACAGGAUUAGAUACCCGUGUAGUCCCUGUCUCUUAUAC
rnacentral:rRNA from 1 species